rnacentral:rRNA from 1 species
UACGGAGGGUGCAAGCGUUGUCCGGAUUUAUUGGGUUUAAAGGGUGCGUAGGUGGCCCCAUAAGUCAGUGGUGAAAGACAGCCGCUCAACGGUUGAGGUGCCAUUGAUACUGUGGGGCUUGAAGCAGACAGAGGCUGCCGGAAUGGAUGGUGUAGCGGUGAAAUGCAUAGAUAUCAUCCAGAACACCGAUUGCGAAGGCAGGUGGCUAUGUCUGACUUGACACUGAGGCACGAAAGCAUGGGGAGCAAACAGG